rnacentral:rRNA from 1 species
UACGUAGGGGGCAAGCGUUGUCCGGAAUCAUUGGGCGUAAAGAGCGCGUAGGCGGCCCUGUAAGUCCGCUGUGAAAGUCAAGGGCUCAACCCUUGAAUGCCGGUGGAUACUGCAGGGCUAGAGUCCGGAAGAGGCGAGUGGAAUUCCUGGUGUAGCGGUGAAAUGCGCAGAUAUCAGGAGGAACACCGAUGGCGAAGGCGACAUCCUGGACCGGUAUUGACGCUGAGGCGCGAAAGCCAGGGGAGCAAACGGGG